rnacentral:rRNA from 1 species
AAAAACAUGGCCUUUGGAAGAACGAUCAAAAGGUCCGUCCUGCCCGGUGAUAUAUUAAACGGCUGCAGUACUCUGACUGUGCAAAGGUAGCAUGAUCAAUUGUCUGGUAAUUCCAGUCUGGUAUGAAUGGUUAGACGAUAGGAACGCUGUCUCUUUUUUCUGGUGUUGAAGUUAGUUAUUGGGUGCGGAAACCUAGAUUUGAAAGUGGGACGAGAAGACCCUAUAGAGCUUUAACUUUAAUCAUAAAGCUUUUGUGGUGAGUGUUUUAGUUGGGGCAACUGCCUUUGUAGUUAGACAUUGGCUAUUUAAAAAUAAGUUUAGUUUAUAUUGACCCUGAAGGUUUUAGGGAAUAAGAAAAAGUUACCUUAGGGAUAACAGCGUAAUUUCUCUUGAGAGUUCUUAUUAACAGGGGAGUUUGCGACCUCGAUGUUGGAUCAAGUUUACCUGGGGGUGCAGCCGCUUCCAAGGGUUGGUUUGUUCAACCAUUAAAGACUUACGUGAUCUGA